rnacentral:ncRNA from 2 species
GGUCAUGAGUGUCAGCGCACAGCCCCGGCUUGCUGACCGGCAACCCUCCAUCCGCGGUGGGGUGCUCCGGGUGAUGACCUGGCUGCGACGGAAGUCGCCGCAGCAAGCGCGGGUC